ACCCCUUGUUCAGUUUCCUUUUUACGCCACAAGAUAAGAAGGUCCCUUGGGGCUUCCUGAAUGAAUGACCUGUGAGUAACACCGUCACAACCUGCAGGAAAAGAAGAGUCGUUUCCCCGAUCCCAAGGAUUGAAAUGAAAUGUUUUGAGGUCUUCAAGCUGACUCAUCAGAAUCUUGGAGCAUAUUUUUAAAUGACGAAAUGGAAGAAAAAAAUUUUAAAUUGUCAAUAAGGAGUCUUUCAAACGCCAAGUCCCACCAGGGUUGAGCUAGAUGGUUCCUGGCACUUGACGUCCCCAGCAAGCACAGUGCCCAGAGUAAACGCAAAGGACCUGGACUGUAUUGCAUCUCUAAUGGAAAAUUGUUUAAUUCCUUAGUGUGUUAAAGACACUAGAAAGAAAGGUCAUGUGCCUUAGUCUUUUUGGCAUUAGGAGACAAAAUAGAUCUUACGGCUGUCUCAAAUUACAGAAAAAAAUCAAUCAGGAAAUGAAAGGAAAUGACUUAAAAAUAAUUUUAAAUAUGGAAAGAAUUAACCACAGGAAGAUGAAUGUGGAAUCUUAUUUACUCACUGUCUACUCCAGAAGGCAGACAGAAAUUCCCCAGAAAUACCUGAGGGACAGCAGAGCUCGAGAGCUUUCCCGCGCUGCCAGACGCUUAAAUGAAGAGCCGUCACCCUCUCAUGGGAGCCACUCCCAUGUAGCCUCUGUCGACCUCGGAUGGUGGCAACAGAUGGAGAUGCUGGCAGGGGAAAUCCAGACUUGAAAGUUUGGGGCAUCUCUGUUAUUGCAAGUGAAAUCCUGAGGAAUUGCUCUAAGAAUUUGUAUAGGGAGUGGCCUAAUAUUACAUUUUCUAGAACAUCUUUAAGGGAUCAGAAGUCUUAAACUCAUCUAUGGCAGGUGAGGGCUAAGAUUUUGCCCCUUUGUAGAAUGCAAGUGCAUGACGCAUUCUUCAAGGUGAAUAGCUUAGUAUAAUUUUAUUAUGCUUAACAUAUUGUCAC